CAUCCGGACGGUCGCAGAGAUGUGACCUUCUCUUCGGAGCCUGGAGCACAGGUGCUGCAUGGCUGUCGUCAGCUCGUGUCGUGAGAUGUUGGGUUAAGUCCCGCAACGAGCGCAACCCCCGUCCUUAGUUGCUACCAUUUAGUUGAGCACUCUAAGGAGACUGCCGGUGAUAAGCCGCGAGGAAGGUGGGGAUGACGUCAAGUCCUCAUGGCCCUUACGGGCUGGGCUACACACGUGCUACAAUGGCGGUGACAAUGGGAUGCUAAGGGGCGACCCUUCGCAAAUCUCAAAAAGCCGUCUCAGUUCGGAUUGGGCUCUGCAACUCGAGCCCAUGAAGUUGGAAUCGCUAGUAAUCGUGGAUCAGCACGCCACGGUGAAUACGUUCCCGGGUUGGAACCCCCCGGA
rnacentral:rRNA from 1 species